rnacentral:lncRNA from 1 species
AACUCCAUGAUUUUAACCAUUCUUUCAUAGUAAAAAAUAUCAAUUGUUCUGGCAUGCAAGCUGUCAGCCUUUGAAGGUUUUUUGUGAUACACAACCAAAGCAUGCAAAGCUUAUUUCAUUUAUUGUGUGGAUACGUUUAUCUUUGUUCCUUUAUUGAGCUGAUGCGCAUGUGCUUGCUACAUAUGUGUUUCACAAUCAUAUGUGGAUGUGGUUUUGUAGAAAUAAAGGAAUACUUCAGGCAAAGUUUAGGGAUCGAAAGAGAUGGAAAGGCUUUUUUGACAUCUGGGUCGAGUUUUCAUAAAAUGACCGGUUUUUAGAAAAGAAAAUCCUGAUAAGGUUGUCUUUGUUCUCUUGAUCAUUCCACUCGCUUGACCUGUUCUCUUUUGAACUCUCUCACCUCGUUCCAUAAGUCCAUUUUGCCACCAGAAUCCCUUCUUUGCUCCACCGCCUGUGACUGCACCUCUUCUUUGCACCGUUGCUGCGUGCGACUCUCCCUCCUCCUUCCCUGAUCUGUUCCUGGAUCUUUGAGAAGAAGAGGUUGGGCCACACUUAUAAUAAAAUGAAAAUGACCAAAAUCUCAAAAAAGAAUAAGCUGCAGCAUAUGGGUAGCAUGUAGAAUGCGUUGCAAUGGAAUACGAGUCUGCUCCGUGACUGACAUCAUAGAACUAAAUUAUAAUACAACUAUAUAGUUAAUAAUGUGGGUGGAGUAGUUAUCCUUCCCCUUUUUAUUUUUAAUUUAGUUUUAAAAAAAAA